UACUGCAUCAACCAGAUAGAUACUAUGAUUUCUUAGUCUGGGAUGGUGAUCCAGUUGAAUUCGAUGAGAAUAAUAAGGAUCCGAUCACCUAUAUGGAUGCGAUGCAGAGGUCUGACUCUAAUAAGUGGCUGGAAGCCAUAAAAUCCAAAAUGAACUCCAUGAAAGUCAACAAUGUAUGGACAUUGGUUGAUCCAUCUGAAGGGGUAAAAUUCAUAGUGGGUCUU
rnacentral:lncRNA from 1 species